rnacentral:rRNA from 1 species
GUGGGGAAUAUUCCGCAAUGGACGAAAGUCUGACGGAGCAACGCCGCGUGAGUGAUGAAGGUUUUCGGACUGUAAAGCUCUGUUGUUUAGGACGAAAGUGCCUGUUGCGAAUAGUUACAGGUAUUGACGGUACUGAACGAGGAAGCCACGGCUAACUACGUGCCAGCAGCCGCGGUAAUACGUAGGUGGCAAGCGUUGUCCGGAAUUAUUGGGCGUAAAGAGCAUGUAGGCGGGAAUCUAAGUCUGUUGUGAAAAUGCGGGGCUCAACCCCGUAUUGCGAUGGAAACUGGGUUUCUUGAGUGCAGGAGAGGAAAGGGGAAUUCCCAGUGUAGCGGUGAAAUGCGUAGAUAUUGGGAGGAACACCAGUGGCGAAGGCGCCUUUCUGGACUGUGUCUGACGCUGAGAUGCGAAAGCCAGGGUAGCGAACGGGAUUAGAUACCCUGGUAGUCC